rnacentral:rRNA from 1 species
CAUGGCGAACUGCUCAGUAACACAUGAUCAACUUACCCUAUAGAGAAAAAUAACCUCGGGAAACUGAGGAUAAUGUUUCAUAAUUGAAAAGGCUUGGAAAAGUUUUUCAAUUAAAGGAGUAAAGAAAAUGGUAUUUACUUGCUAUAGGAUAGGAUCGUGGUCGAUUAUGGUUGUUGGUAGGGUAAUGGCCUACCAAGCCGAUAAUCUCUAGGGGCCAUGAGAGUGGUGGCCCCCAGAAGGGCACUGAGACAAGGGCCCUAGCCCUACGGGGUGCAGCAGGCGCGAAACCUCUACAAUGCUGGAAACAGUGAUAGGGGAACUCCGAGUGGCGUCGGCUAAGCCGGCGUCUUUUGCCAAGUGUAAAUAGCUUGGAGAAUAAGGGUGUGGGCAAGACUGGUGGCAGCCGCCGCGGUAACACCAGCGCCUCGAGUGGUACCCACGAAUACUGGGCCUAGAGCGUUCGUAGCCGGCCAGAUAAGUCUUCUGUGAAAUAGUGUGGCUUAACCUCACUGCGCGCAGGAGAUACUGUUUGGCUUGGGAACGGGGGAGGUCAGGAGUACACCCGGGGUAGGGGUAAAAUCCGUUGAGCCUGGGUGGACUACCAGUGGCGAAGGCGCCUGACCAAAACGUGUCCGACGGUGAGGAACGAAAGCUGGGGGAGCGAACGGGAUUAGAUACCCCGGUAGUCCCAGCUGUAGAUAAUGCGGACUGUGGUGUUGCUUCAGAGUUAAUCUGCAGCAGUGCUGUAGCGUAGGUGUUAAGUCCGCCGCCUGGGGAGUACGGCCGCAAGGUUGAAACUUAAAGGAAUUGGCGGGGGAGCACCACAAGGGGUGGAUGCUACGGUUUAAUUGGAUACAACGCCGUGAACUUCACCAAGGGCGACGGCAGAAUGAAGGCCAGACUAAAGAUCUUGCCUAACAAGCCGAGAGGUGUUGCAUGGCCAUCGUCAGCUUGUGGCGUGAGUUGUCUGGUUAAGUCCAGCAACGAGCGAGACCCAUACCAUUAAUUGCUACUUUUACCUUUAGUAAGAGGCACCUUAAUGGGACUGCCCGCGUUAAGUGGGAGGAAGGAGUGGGCGACGGUAGGUCAGUAUGGCCCGAAUCCCUUGGGCUACACGCGGCAUACAAUGGCUGGAACAAUGGGUUGCUACUCCGAAAGGAGGCGCUAAUCCCCUAAAUCCAGUCUUAGUUCGGAUUGAGGGUUGAAACUCACCCUCAUGAAGCUGGA